CCUACGGGGUGCAGCAGUGGGGGAUAUUGCACAAUGGGGGAAACCCUGAUGCAGCGACGCCGCGUGGGUGAAGGAGUAUCUCGGUACGUAAAGCUCUAUCAGCAGGGAAGAAAAUGACGGUACCUGACUAAGAAGCCCCGGCUAACUACGUGCCAGCAGCCGCGGUAAUACGUAGGGGGCAAGCGUUAUCCGGAUUUACUGGGUGUAAAGGGGGCGUAGACGGCAGGACAAGCCUGGAGUGAAAGCCCGGGGCGCAACCCCGGAACUGCUGUGGAAACUGCGCGGCUGGAGUGCAGGAGGGGUAGGCGGAAUUCCUAGUGUAGCGGUGAAAUGCGUAGAUAUUAGGAGGAACACCGGUGGCGAAGGCGGCUUACUGGACUGUAACUGACGUUGAGGCUCGAAGGCGUGGGGAGCAAACAGGAUUAGAUACCCUUGUAGUC
rnacentral:rRNA from 1 species